AACAAGGCGUACCUGCGGACCUGCGGAGGGAUCAUUACCGAGUUUACAACUCCCAAACCCCUGUGAACAUACCAAUUGUUGCCUCGGCGGAUCAGCCCGCUCCCGGUAAAACGGGACGGCCCGCCAGAGGACCCCUAAACUCUGUUUCUAUAUGUAACUUCUGAGUAAAACCAUAAAUAAAUCAAAACUUUUAGCAAUGGAUCU
rnacentral:misc_RNA from 1 species